GCAGUCGUUGCACAGGCACUUUGGUGACUCUAGAUAACCUUGGGCCAAUCGCACGUCCCUGUGACGGCGACGACUCAUUUGGAUGUCUGCCAUAUCAACUUUCUAUGGUACUUUCUGCGCCUACCAUGGUGACCACGGGUAACUGGAGAAUCAGAGUUUGAUUCUGGAGAGGAAGCCUGAGAAACGACUACCACCUUCAAGGGAGGCAGCAUGCGCGCAAAUUACCCACUCCAGACGCGGGGAGGUAGUGAC
rnacentral:rRNA from 1 species